rnacentral:lncRNA from 1 species
UACACCUCUGUUUGCCAGCAUUCAAAGGAGAACCUCUGAUGCUUUUAGAUUGAGUGUUGGAGAGUUGCUGAGAUCCCUCUGGUUUCUUCUUUCGCCUCCCUUGUUGAGAUAGACGAGAGUGGUAGGAUAAGAUGGCGAGAUCAUUAAGGUCUUGCAACGGAGUGAGAACUUUCACUACUUCAUCCAUUGUAGGACGGGAUUUUGGGUCCCGGUGGAGGCAGUUGUGAGCUAAUUGAGAAACUUUCUGCACUCCUUUUAGAGAAUAAUUCAGCUCCAAGCGGGGAUCCACCAGUUGGUAAAGUUUUCUCUUGUCAGCUAAAACAAAACUUUCCCAUCUUUUAGCAUUCUCAUUUACAUAUACUGAAGAGUAUGUGGAUUUGAAGCAAAAUCAUACAAGUGUCAAUGGAGAAACAUACUGCAAGUUCCAAAACUCAAUAAGAAAUUAGACAUUCGGGUAGCUGCAAAUACCAGUCAUUGAAAUGGGAGGUUUGAUCUAAUUACAAGAGAUACUCCUCAGUUACAACAGUGGGGAUGGUUAGCUCUCUAGUGUAAUAAAUUGGUUUUACCUCUACCAAAUUUUUCAAACUCCCUGAAAUUGCACAACCAAGCCUGACAUAUAUGUCUUCACACAAUCGAAAAUGCAACCAUGGCAUCCCAACAUCUGUUUUCAUUUGAUAGCUGAGCCAAUGAUGGCAGGAGUCGGUUACAGAUCAUCUACACCUCUGUUUGCCAGCAUUCAAAGGAGAACCUCUGAUGCUUUUAGAUUGAGUGUUGGAGAGUUGCUGAGAUCCCUCUGGUUUCUUCUUUCGCCUCCCUUGUUGAGAUAGACGAGAGUGGUAGGAUAAGAUGGCGAGAUCAUUAAGGUCUUGCAACGGAGUGAGAACUUUCACUACUUCAUCCAUUGUAGGACGGGAUUUUGGGUCCCGGUGGAGGCAGUUGUGAGCUAAUUGAGAAACUUUCUGCACUCCUUUUAGAGAAUAAUUCAGCUCCAAGCGGGGAUCCACCAGUUGG